UGCUCCUCCUUUCUUGCCUAUUCAGUUUUUCAGCAGCUUAGAAGCAGGUUGCUAAAAACUGUGAGAUGGGGCCAGAGAAGCUGGUAUAACUGGAAAAGGAGAAAGUGCAAAGGAAA
rnacentral:lncRNA from 1 species